rnacentral:rRNA from 1 species
UACGUAGGGUGCGAGCGUUGUCCGGAAUUAUUGGGCGUAAAGGGCUCGUAGGCGGUUUGUCGCGUCGGGAGUGAAAACCUCGGGCUUAACUCGGGGCUUGCUUUCGAUACGGGCAGACUGGAGGUAUGCAGGGGAGAACGGAAUUCCUGGUGUAGCGGUGAGAUGCGCAGAUAUCAGGAGGAACACCGGUGGCGAAGGCGGUUCUCUGGGCAUGACCUGACGCUGAGGAGCGAAAGUGUGGGGAGCGAACAGG